rnacentral:rRNA from 1 species
UACGUAGGGAGCAAGCGUUGUCCGGAAUCAUUGGGCGUAAAGCGCGUGUAGGCGGCUCGGUAAGUCUGCUGUGAAAGUCCAAGGCUCAACCUUGGAAAGCCGGUGGAUACUGUCGAGCUCGAGUCCGGAAGAGGCGAGUGGAAUUCCUGGUGUAGCGGUGAAAUGCGCAGAUAUCAGGAGGAACACCAAUGGCGAAGGCAGCUCGCUGGGACGGUACUGACGCUGAGGAGCGAAAGCGUGGGGAGCAAACAGG